UACAGAGGUCCCGAGCGUUGUUCGGAUUCAUUGGGCGUAAAGGGUGCGUAGGCGGCGGGGCAAGUCUGAUGUGAAAUCCCGGGGCUCAACCCCGGAACUGCAUUGGAUACUGCCUUGCUUGAGUACUGGAGAGGGAACUGGAAUUUACGGUGUAGCAGUGAAAUGCGUAGAGAUCGUAAGGAAGGCCAGUGGCGAAGGCGAGUUCCUGGACAGUGACUGACGCUGAGGCACGAAGGCCAGGGGAGCAAACGGG
rnacentral:rRNA from 1 species